rnacentral:rRNA from 1 species
CUUUAUCGGAGAGUUUGAUCCUGGCUCAGGACGAACGCUGGCGGCGUGCCUAAUACAUGCAAGUCGAGCGGAUUGAUGGGAGCUUGCUCCCUGAUAUCAGCGGCGGACGGGUGAGUAACACGUGGGCAACCUGCCUGUAAGACUGGGAUAACUUCGGGAAA